rnacentral:sRNA from 3 species
UUUUUAUUUUUCUGUGUCAUCAUGCCUCCGUUAUUAGCCUUUUAUCGUCUUGUUUAUAUUUUUUUUGGCCGGCAUGAUGCCGGCUUUUUUU